ACAGUGGAGCAGAGGAUCCUCCAGUGCGAUUGCAGGUAUGAGCGGGGUGGCAGCAGCUACCAGAGAUUAGUGAAAGAGAGAGAAGCGGCUCCGCUGACCUGGUGUGGAGAUAAGCCAGUGAGAUAACAAGCAGCAUCAGCGGAGAGCAUACCUCCCAACUGUCCGAUUUUUGCGGGACAGUCCAGUUUUUUUAAACUGUCCCUCUGUACCACCCGUGGGCCGCUGGGCGGGGGUGGGGCAGUUGGGAGGCCCCUGCACGCGCUGCUCUGCCUAGCAGAGCAGCGGUGAAUAGACGCUGUGCGCAUGCGCACAGCGUCUGUUCAGUGGAGCUGGCGGAGAGGGGGCAUGCCAGCAGAUCACAAAGCACUGGGCAUGCCCCCUCAGUGAAGAAAACAGGAGCGUGGCUCGCGGUCGUGGGGCACUCCCGCAAAGCCAUGCCCCUUUUCAUAGGCCACGCCCCUUUCCCUGCUUGGUCAGAGACAAAGUUGGGAGGUAUGGCGGAGAGGUCCGGAGUCGCAGCGGUAGUUAGGUGCUGCCAGAAAAUCGCAGGUAGUUUAUGGACAUCCGCAUCCUGCACUGGGAACAGAAAGAAGGAAAGAGUCGGGGGAGUGCCAGAUGACUACACAGCAACCACGGCUAGUGUAUCACAGUAGAAUGCAGUGGAGUUGUAUAUGGUGGUGUCUCCCAUAAGUUCCAGAUAAAUUGGUUGUGAUUUUCCAGUUUCAGAAACACCUCGGACAGAAAAAGAUCUUUGUAUCUGGCUGCCCCGGUGUCCACCAAAACCCUGAUGAUUGGACCUCCAUUAAGAGUUAGAGACAGACAAGACAGUGUUCCAGCCCUCAAGUGCCACAUGGGUCACUUAAGUAUGCGCAUAGGAUCGCUACCGCACCGGAUCACCUGACCAGACUCAUUGGAUGUUUUAACUACGCCACUUCAAUCUCCUGUUUAUUUGAGGUAUACAGACCAAGUACACGGGUCCCAGGAGCCACUACCACCAGUGAAGGCAGCUGCAGCAACGUCCAGUUUAACAACCCGUCAGUUGAUUAUGUAUACACACUCUAAAUACUCAGGAAAAAUUCACGCUCACAUUCAUUGAUUCAUACGCCUUUGUAACAUAUAUAAGCACAUAUAAGCAAGAGAAUAGAAGAAAAAAGAGAAAAUCAACCUCCUUACUGAGUGAACUUUGUGCGCACGAUCCCGAUACCUGUCUUGCAGCAGAACAGAUUGGACAGUUAACGGAAUGAGAGUCUACAGAGAAAUAUCUCUACGUACCGUGCAUGGGUUUUGAGUCUCAGUCCAAGAACCGUCAGCCCAGUCGUCCGCUGUACGACAGGUGAUGUGGAUCUCGGUUUGGGAACCUCCAGAUUGUUAAAGGUAACAAGGAUAGGGCACACCUCGCUUAACCAAGUUCAAGCACGCAUUCAGUCAGUCAGCAUCAGGUUCAUACACGGCUGCAGCCAGUGACCAGUCAACAAAGCAACCUUUGUAAUAACUAGCCACGUGUGUUUAGUGAGGAAUAACAGAGUAGAUCUGCUUUAUUUCCUGAAAGCAUUACAUUAUAAAGAGAUACACAUUUGCAUACAGUGUCGUAGUUUCCUUACACAAAGCAUAAUCCUAUUGGUUAAUGAUCUCUUUAAUUCUAUUGGUUAACAUACUUUUCUUAUCCUAUUGGUUAAUA